rnacentral:rRNA from 1 species
AUGACUACUGUGCUAUGCAACUUCCAUUCUUUGAAGCACUCCUCUGGUUUGAAGGAUAUAUACCUUCCUAGGAUCAAGUGCAUCCUAACUCACCUGCUACCAUAUAACUGGAAUUACCGAUGCAAGUCGAAGAAGGAUUGGCCGGUGCUGCUGGCUGGCGUCAAGUUCGAUCCCAUGGAUCAGGAGCUGAUCGAGCACCUUGAGGCCAAAGUGAGUGCUGACAGUGCGAGAUUUCAGUCUCUCAUCGAUUUGUUCAUACCAACCAUCAACAGCGAGCACGGCAUAUGCUACACCCAACCUGAGAAACUUCCAGGUAUCACACUGAGUGGCCUAAGGAAGCAUUUCUUCCAGCCCAAUUCCAGGGCGUUCAAAAGGGGCACGUGGACGCAUCGCAAGAUACAGUCGGAGUGUGGCAUGCACGCGAUGUGGCACAAGACCGGCAAUACCUUGCCAGUGAUGGUCAACGGCCGGCAGACGGGCAGCAAAAAAGGUUCUGGUGCUGCACACCAACAAGAACUUCGACUAGCAGAGGACCAACUGGGUGAUGCACCAGUACCACCUCGGGGACCUGGAGAAAGAGAAGGAGCGGGAGCUGGUCCUCUGCAAGAUUUUCUACGAGAUGGACACUAG